UACGAAUGGAGCGAGCGUUGUUCGGAAUCACUGGGCGUAAAGCGUGCGCAGGCGGUUAUGAAAGUCAGAAGUGAAAUCCCAGGGCUCAACCCUGGAAUUGCUUUUGAAACUCCAUAACUAGAGUACUGGAGAGGUUAGCGGAAUUCCGAGUGUAGAGGUGAAAUUCGCAGAUAUUCGGAGGAACACCAAUGGCGUAGGCAGCUAACUGGACAGUAACUGACGCUCAUGCACGAAAGCGUGGGGAUCAAACAGG
rnacentral:rRNA from 1 species